rnacentral:rRNA from 1 species
UACGAAGGGGGCUAGCGUUGUUCGGAAUUACUGGGCGUAAAGGGCGCGUAGGCGGUGUGUCAAGUCAGGCGUGAAAGCCCCGGGCUCAACCUGGGAACUGCAUUUGAAACUGGCGGGCUUGAGUGCGGCAGAGGGGGGUGGAAUUCCGCGUGUAGCAGUGAAAUGCGUAGAGAUGCGGAGGAACACCGAUGGCGAAGGCAGCCCCCUGGGCCGACACUGACGCUCAGGCACGAAAGCGUGGGGAGCAAACAGG